CUAUCUUUUUUCAGCCGCCACCAGCAGGCAGCAGCUUCUCCCUCGCGCGUGUCUUCUUCCCUUGGAGCUGAGCUCCUUCUCCCAUGGCGCCUCCACACUCCCAGCCGCCCUCCUCUGCCCAGCAGCCGAGCGCCCAGCUCCCUCCCUGGAUCCAUGGCGUCCAAGCCCCUGUGCCCUCUCUCCCAUGGCGUGAGGCCCCUACUCCCAUCUCUCUACCAGCGCCCAGCCAUGGUGGUCGCCGACCUCCCUGCUCCCUGCUGUUGCUCGCCUUGCUUGGAUGAGAAGCAGCCGAGCGCCCUCCCUGUCCAUGGCGUGGAGCAGCAGCUCCCAUUCCCCGGCGACAUCCUCCUCGCCGUCGUCCAUGGCGCCCCUGCGAACCUCCCUGUCCAUGGCCACAAAUCCUUGCGCCCUUCCUGCGCAGCGCCGCUGCUCCACCCCUCCCCCAGCGCCCCCUCUCUCCCAUGGCCGAGCAGCAGCUCUGCUCGCCUCCCCCUCCUUCUUUUUCCCUUGCGCAGCAGCAAGAAGCCCCUGCUCGCAGUCUUGGCGUCCAACUUCGCUGCGCAGCGGUGCCGAUCCAAAACAGCAGCCCCGAAUCCCCCGCAUCGCGUGCUCGCUCGAUCUGCGCAGCCCCAACAUUGACGCCGUUCACCCCGGUGAGACGACGAUGAUCUUUGUUUGAUUCCACAUCGGCAUUGUUCUCCGGUGAUUAAAUUGUGUAUAUGUGCUGUUUUGUUUUAUUUUGUGGAGGCGAGGAACCCCGUGUGUUGCGUGGAGAAGGCAAGUCGUUCAACGCUCGUCGGAUGCUCGGAGCGAUGCACAAAUCGGAAUCGCCAUCGUCCUUACAAACACCGAUUGGGUUUGUUUAUGGUGAGCCGAUGACCGAGAGAUGAUGAUCGAGCAGUGAUGUG